AACACUGUUGAAAAAUAAGGAAACAUGUCACUUCAAUUUCAAAACUUUAAUCAUUUGAAUUGUAUAUAUUUAUUCUAAUGUUUAUAAUUUUAAUACAAAAUGCAUAAGCCUAAAGUAUUGUUUCUGACGGCAUAAGAAGUCACAUUUCUUUCAUAUUUUAUAUAUAUAAUGUACAGUUUUAAAAAAGGGGAUACAGUUGUUAAAAUAACUCUAAUAAUUCUAAUAAUGAUGAGGAUUGCUUAAAAACACACUGCAUUUUUUUAACUCCAAAACAGACGGACGAAAAUCAUGCACAUAAUACAAUUAUUAUUAUUUAUUAUUAUUUAUUUCUUAGCAGACGCCCUUAUCCUUAUGAUUGUUACAAGAUAUCACAUUAUUUUACAUACAAUUACAUUAUUUUUUACACAUUAUUUGUACAUACAAUUACCCAUUUAUACAGUUGGGUUUUUACUGGAGCAAUCUAGGUAAAGUACCUUGCUCAAGGGUACAGCAGCAAUGUCCCCCACCUGGGAUUGAACCCACGACCCUCGUCAAGAGUCCAGAGCCCUAACCACUACUCCACACUGCUGGCCUGUUAGGUAAGAAUAAUGUAGUACUACUGAAAAAGCCAGUCCGAAUCGACAUUUAACUCAUUUUGUGCAACAAAUCUGUUUUUGCCAAGACCUGACUGACAGCAUGAGAUAGACAGUUGCCUUAGCAACAGACGCUCAGAUCUGAUCUACCUGUACUGAGCUGUGGGUAAACUAAGUGUUCUGGGUGGUUUUAACAAACCAGUUUAUAGGCCGGAAUGGGCGGUAAAGGUCAGUUCGGAAAAGUUUUUUUUAAACAAUGCUACUGUAUUCUUAUUUAUUUGUGGCCUAUUGGCUAUCAUUUUUUACCUCUGUGCAACUUCGGAACUGAUGGUUCCAGCUGCUUCGGUUUCAUCCACCCCUGCUUGUUUACGUUUUGCCUCAAAGGCAUCAGCCGUCCUUCAAAAUCUAUUUUAUUAUUGUAUUAGUGUUCAGCUGAACAUUUUGCUUCCAUAACAUGUGCAUUUAAACAAUUUAUAAAAUCUACUUACCCUUGUAAUCUUUCAGUCCUCGGUUAUCAGCGGCACGUGAUGUACACAUCUUCAUCCUGGAGCCGCCACGAGCCUUCUUUUUUCCUCGAGACAAACUGAGUUCGAGAUAAUUUUUCACAGACCAACUGAAGUCCACAUGCCAACAGUUACCAAAGUUUUACAUAGGCAAAGGGGUAUCACUGAUGAAGAGAAGUGGGCAGUUAUAAAACAGCAGGAAACAGGAAAGUUUUGCAAGGCAUUGGCUGUUGCAAUUUGGGGGUCUCACUUGGACUGAAAGACAGAAGUGUCACAGGAGGAAAAUGUAAUGCAAAAAAAGACUCAACAAUAAAACCUCACUGACACCAGAAAAGUUGAUACCAUCAAAGAAUGCCUGGUGGAAAGAAUGAAGCAAAGGGGAGACUGCAGAGAAAAGGUGAGAAGGAGGAAAUAUGUGAUGUCAUCAGGCUGUUGUUGAAAAGAAAUCCUAUAUAAACCAUGGAAAAUUGUGGGUGAGACACAAGAAGGUUUGAAAUAAAUGCGAUUAAAUCAACAAUAGGGUUGUCUCCUGUCAGUAUGUUCUUGAAGGUUCAUCUUUUG